rnacentral:rRNA from 1 species
GGGUUGUGAGGUUAAGCGACUAAGCGUACACGGUGGAUGCCCUGGCAGUCAGAGGCGAUGAAGGACGUGCUAAUCUGCGAUAAGCGUCGGUAAGGUGAUAUGAACCGUUAUAACCGGCGAUUUCCGAAUGGGGAAACCCAGUGUGAUUCGUCACACUAUCAUUACGUGAAUACAUAGCGUAAUGAAGCGAACCGGGGGAACUGAAACAUCUAAGUACCCCGAGGAAAAGAAAUCAACCGAGAUUCCCCCAGUAGCGGCGAGCGAACGGGGAGCAGCCCAGAGUCUGAAUCAGCUUGUGUGUUAGUGGAACGGUCUGGAAAGUCCGACGGUACAGGGUGAUAGUCCCGUACACCAAAAUGCACAGGUUGUGAACUCGAAGAGUAGGGCGGGACACGUGGUAUCCUGUCUGAAUAUGGGGGGACCAUCCUCCAAGGCUAAAUACUCCUGACUGACCGAUAGUGAACCAGUACCGUGAGGGAAAGGCGAAAAGAACCCCGGCGAGGGGAGUGAAAAAGAACCUGAAACCGUGUACGUACAAGCAGUGGGAGCAUCCUUUUGGGUGUGACUGCGUACCUUUUGUAUAAUGGGUCAGCGACUUAUAUUCUGUAGCAAGGUUAACCGUAUAGGGGAGCCGAAGGGAAACCGAGUCUUAACUGGGCGUUAAGUUGCAGGGUAUAGACCCGAAACCCGGUGAUCUAGCCAUGGGCAGGUUGAAGGUUGGGUAACACUAACUGGAGGACCGAACCGACUAAUGUUGAAAAAUUAGCGGAUGACUUGUGGCUGGGGGUGAAAGGCCAAUCAAACCGGGAGAUAGCUGGUUCUCCCCGAAAGCUAUUUAGGUAGCGCCUCGUGAACUCAUCUUCGGGGGUAGAGCACUGUUUCGGCUAGGGGGUCAUCCCGACUUACCAACCCGAUGCAAACUGCGAAUACCGAAGAAUGUUAUCACGGGAGACACACGGCGGGUGCUAACGUCCGUCGUGAAGAGGGAAACAACCCAGACCGCCAGCUAAGGUCCCAAAGUCAUGGUUAAGUGGGAAACGAUGUGGGAAGGCACAGACAGCCAGGAUGUUGGCUUAGAAGCAGCCAUCAUUUAAAGAAAGCGUAAUAGCUCACUGGUCGAGUCGGCCUGCGCGGAAGAUGUAACGGGGCUAAACCAUGCACCGAAGCUGCGGCAGCGACACUAUGUGUUGUUGGGUAGGGGAGCGUUCUGUAAGCCGUUGAAGGUGUAUCGUGAGGUAUGCUGGAGGUAUCAGAAGUGCGAAUGCUGACAUAAGUAACGAUAAUGCGGGUGAAAAACCCGCACGCCGGAAGACCAAGGGUUCCUGUCCAACGUUAAUCGGGGCAGGGUGAGUCGACCCCUAAGGCGAGGCCGAAAGGCGUAGUCGAUGGGAAACAGGUUAAUAUUCCUGUACUUGGUGUUACUGCGAAGGGGGGACGGAGAAGGCUAUGUUAGCCGGGCGACGGUUGUCCCGGUUUAAGCAUGUAGGCGGAGGUUCCAGGUAAAUCCGGUACCUUUUUAACGCUGAGGUGUGAUGACGAGGCACUACGGUGCUGAAGUAACAAAUGCCCUGCUUCCAGGAAAAGCCUCUAAGCAUCAGGUAACACGAAAUCGUACCCCAAACCGACACAGGUGGUCAGGUAGAGAAUACCAAGGCGCUUGAGAGAACUCGGGUGAAGGAACUAGGCAAAAUGGUGCCGUAACUUCGGGAGAAGGCACGCUGAUAUGUAGGUGAAGUGAUUUACUCAUGGAGCUGAAAUCAGUCGAAGAUACCAGCUGGCUGCAACUGUUUAUUAAAAACACAGCACUGUGCAAACACGAAAGUGGACGUAUACGGUGUGACGCCUGCCCGGUGCCGGAAGGUUAAUUGAUGGGGUUAUCCGUAAGGAGAAGCUCUUGAUCGAAGCCCCGGUAAACGGCGGCCGUAACUAUAACGGUCCUAAGGUAGCGAAAUUCCUUGUCGGGUAAGUUCCGACCUGCACGAAUGGCGUAAUGAUGGCCAGGCUGUCUCCACCCGAGACUCAGUGAAAUUGAACUCGCUGUGAAGAUGCAGUGUACCCGCGGCAAGACGGAAAGACCCCGUGAACCUUUACUAUAGCUUGACACUGAACACUGGUCCUUGAUGUGUAGGAUAGGUGGGAGGCUUUGAAGUGUGGACGCCAGUCUGCAUGGAGCCAUCCUUGAAAUACCACCCUUUAAUGGCUGGUGUUCUAACGUGGACCCGUAAUCCGGGUUGCGGACAGUGUCUGGUGGGUAGUUUGACUGGGGCGGUCUCCUCCUAAAGAGUAACGGAGGAGCACGAAGGUUAGCUAAUCCUGGUCGGACAUCAGGAGGUUAGUGCAAAGGCAUAAGCUAGCUUGACUGCGAGAGUGACGGCUCGAGCAGGUGCGAAAGCAGGUCUUAGUGAUCCGGUGGUUCUGAAUGGAAGGGCCAUCGCUCAACGGAUAAAAGGUACUCCGGGGAUAACAGGCUGAUACCGCCCAAGAGUUCAUAUCGACGGCGGUGUUUGGCACCUCGAUGUCGGCUCAUCACAUCCUGGGGCUGAAGUAGGUCCCAAGGGUAUGGCUGUUCGCCAUUUAAAGUGGUACGCGAGCUGGGUUUAGAACGUCGUGAGACAGUUCGGUCCCUAUCUGCCGUGGGCGCUGGAGAAUUGAGGGGGGCUGCUCCUAGUACGAGAGGACCGGAGUGGACGCAUCACUGGUGUUCGGGUUGUCAUGCCAAUGGCAUUGCCCGGUAGCUAAAUGCGGAAGAGAUAAGUGCUGAAAGCAUCUAAGCACGAAACUUGCCCCGAGAUGAGUUCUCCCUGAGACUUUAAGUCUCCUGAAGGAACGUU